rnacentral:rRNA from 1 species
UCAAGUGAAGAAGCGCAUACGGUGGAUGCCUUGGCAGUCAGAGGCGAUGAAAGACGUGGUAGCCUGCGAAAAGCUUCGGGGAGUCGGCAAACAGACUUUGAUCCGGAGAUCUCUGAAUGGGGGAACCCACCUAGGAUAACCUAGGUAUCUUGUACUGAAUCCAUAGGUGCAAGAGGCGAACCAGGGGAACUGAAACAUCUAAGUACCCUGAGGAAAAGAAAUCAACCGAGAUUCCCUUAGUAGUGGCGAGCGAACGGGGAUUAGCCCUUAAGCUUCAUUGAUUUUAGCGGAACGCUCUGGAAAGUGCGGCCAUAGUGGGUGAUAGCCCCGUACGCGAAAGGAUCUUUGAAGUGAAAUCGAGUAGGACGGAGCACGAGAAACUUUGUCUGAACAUGGGGGGACCAUCCUCCAAGGCUAAAUACUACUGACUGACCGAUAGUGAACCAGUACCGUGAGGGAAAGGCGAAAAGAACCCCGGAGAGGGGAGUGAAAUAGAACCUGAAACCGUAUGCGUACAAGCAGUGGGAGCCUACUUGUUAGGUGACUGCGUACCUUUUGUAUAAUGGGUCAGCGACUUAUAUUCAGUGGCAAGCUUAACCGUAUAGGGUAGGCGUAGCGAAAGCGAGUCUUAAUAGGGCGUUUAGUCGCUGGGUAUAGACCCGAAACCGGGCGAUCUAUCCAUGAGCAGGUUGAAGGUUAGGUAACACUGACUGGAGGACCGAACCCACUCCCGUUGAAAAGGUAGGGGAUGACUUGUGGAUCGGAGUGAAAGGCUAAUCAAGCUCGGAGAUAGCUGGUUCUCCUCGAAAGCUAUUUAGGUAGCGCCUCAUGUAUCACUCUGGGGGGUAGAGCACUGUUUCGGCUAGGGGGUCAUCCCGACUUACCAAACCGAUGCAAACUCCGAAUACCCAGAAGUGCCGAGCAUGGGAGACACACGGCGGGUGCUAACGUCCGUCGUGAAAAGGGAAACAACCCAGACCGCCAGCUAAGGUCCCAAAGUUGUGGUUAAGUGGUAAACGAUGUGGGAAGGCUUAGACAGCUAGGAGGUUGGCUUAGAAGCAGCCAUCCUUUAAAGAAAGCGUAAUAGCUCACUAGUCGAGUCGGCCUGCGCGGAAGAUGUAACGGGGCUCAAACCACACACCGAAGCUGCGGGUGUCACGUAAGUGACGCGGUAGAGGAGCGUUCUGUAAGCCUGUGAAGGUGAGUUGAGAAGCUUGCUGGAGGUAUCAGAAGUGCGAAUGCUGACAUGAGUAACGACAAUGGGUGUGAAAAACACCCACGCCGAAAGACCAAGGGUUCCUGCGCAACGUUAAUCGACGCAGGGUUAGUCGGUUCCUAAGGCGAGGCUGAAAAGCGUAGUCGAUGGGAAACAGGUUAAUAUUCCUGUACUUCUGGUUACUGCGAUGGAGGGACGGAGAAGGCUAGGCCAGCUUGGCGUUGGUUGUCCAAGUUUAAGGUGGUAGGCUGAAAUCUUAGGUAAAUCCGGGGUUUCAAGGCCGAGAGCUGAUGACGAGUCGUCUUUUAGAUGACGAAGUGGUUGAUGCCAUGCUUCCAAGAAAAGCUUCUAAGCUUCAGGUAACCAGGAACCGUACCCCAAACCGACACAGGUGGUCGGGUAGAGAAUACCAAGGCGCUUGAGAGAACUCGGGUGAAGGAACUAGGCAAAAUGGCACCGUAACUUCGGGAGAAGGUGCGCCGGCUAGGGUGAAGGAUUUACUCCGUAAGCUCUGGCUGGUCGAAGAUACCAGGUCGCUGCGACUGUUUAUUAAAAACACAGCACUCUGCAAACACGAAAGUGGACGUAUAGGGUGUGACGCCUGCCCGGUGCCGGAAGGUUAAUUGAUGGGGUUAUCCGUAAGGAGAAGCUCUUGAUCGAAGCCCCGGUAAACGGCGGCCGUAACUAUAACGGUCCUAAGGUAGCGAAAUUCCUUGUCGGGUAAGUUCCGACCUGCACGA